UGCUGGAGGUAUCAGAAGUGCGAAUGCUGACAUAAGUAACGAUAAAGCGGGUGAAAAGCCCGCUCGCCGGAAGACCAAGGGUUCCUGUCCAACGUUAAUCGGGGCAGGGUGAGUCGACCCCUAAGGCGAGGCCGAAAGGCGUAGUCGAUGGGAAACAGGUUAAUAUUCCUGUACUUGGUGUUACUGCGAAGGGGGGACGGAGAAGGCUAUGUCAGCCGGGCGACGGUUGUCCCGGUUUAAGCAUGUAGGCGGAGGUUCCAGGUAAAUCCGGUACCUUGUUAACGCUGAGGUGUGAUGACGAGGCACUACGGUGCUGAAGUGAUAAAUGCCCUGCUUCCAGGAAAAGCCUCUAAGCAUCAGGUAACACGAAAUCGUACCCCAAACCGACACAGGUGGUCAGGUAGAGAAUACCAAGGCGCUUGAGAGAACUCGGGUGAAGGAACUAGGCAAAAUGGUGCCGUAACUUCGGGAGAAGGCACGCUGAUGUGUAGGUGAAGUCCCUGCGGACGGAGCUGAAAUCAGUCGAAGAUACCAGCUGGCUGCAACUGUUUAUUAAAAACACAGCACUGUGCAAACACGAAAGUGGACGUAUACGGUGUGACGCCUGCCCGGUGCCGGAAGGUUAAUUGAUGGGGUUAGCUGUAAGGCGAAGCUCUUGAUCGAAGCCCCGGUAAACGGCGGCCGUAACUAUAACGGUCCUAAGGUAGCGAAAUUCCUUGUCGGGUAAGUUCCGACCUGCACGAAUGGCGUAAUGAUGGCCAGGCUGUCUCCACCCGAGACUCAGUGAAAUUGAACUCGCUGUGAAGAUGCAGUGUACCCGCGGCAAGACGGAAAGACCCCGUGAACCUUUACUAUAGCUUGACACUGAACACUGGUCCUUGAUGUGUAGGAUAGGUGGGAGGCUUUGAAGCGUGGACGCCAGUCUGCGUGGAGCCGUCCUUGAAAUACCACCCUUUAAUGGCUGGUGUUCUAACGUAGACCCGUAAUCCGGGUUGCGGACAGUGUCUGGUGGGUAGUUUGACUGGGGCGGUCUCCUCCCAAAGAGUAACGGAGGAGCACGAAGGUUGGCUAAUCCUGGUCGGACAUCAGGAGGUUAGUGCAAUGGCAUAAGCCAGCUUGACUGCGAGCGUGACGGCGCGAGCAGGUGCGAAAGCAGGUCAUAGUGAUCCGGUGGUUCUGAAUGGAAGGGCCAUCGCUCAACGGAUAAAAGGUACUCCGGGGAUAACAGGCUGAUACCGCCCAAGAGUUCAUAUCGACGGCGGUGUUUGGCACCUCGAUGUCGGCUCAUCACAUCCUGGGGCUGAAGUAGGUCCCAAGGGUAUGGCUGUUCGCCAUUUAAAGUGGUACGCGAGCUGGGUUUAGAACGUCGUGAGACAGUUCGGUCCCUAUCUGCCGUGGGCGCUGGAGAAUUGAGGGGGGCUGCUCCUAGUACGAGAGGACCGGAGUGGACGCAUCACUGGUGUUCGGGUUGUCAUGCCAAUGGCACUGCCCGGUAGCUAAAUGCGGAAGAGAUAAGUGCUGAAAGCAUCUAAGCACGAAACUUGCCCCGAGAUGAGUUCUCCCUGAGACUUUAAGUCUCCUGAAGGAACGUUAAAGACGAUGACGUUGAUAGGUCGGGUGUGUAAGCGCAGCGAUGCGUUGAGCUAACCGAUACUAAUGAACCGUGAGGCUUAACCUU
rnacentral:rRNA from 1 species